GGGAGAUUAACUUAAUUGGUAGAGUGUGUAUCUUACACGUACAUGGUAGUAGUUCGAUUCUACUAUCUCUCA